CACCUAACAUAAUAUUACUGGAUCAAGACGUCACGUGACAAUAAAUCUAUUUCAUACAAGUUGUUCUCCUUAUUAACCACUUGUCAUAAAAAAAAAGGGCUAAAAUACUCAUUAUUUGUUAAUUUUAAUGCGAAAUACUCACUUUGGUACUGUACAUAAUGGGAUAAUUAUUGGGGUUUUGAGUAUGGUUGAUUGACGUUAACAAAAAGUGAGUAUUGUGGCCAAUUCCCAUUUGCCUUCCCUUGCAGUGUUGGAGUUGUAAGACAUUUUCUGAAAUCACAACAACAUGACAUUAAGAUCACGAAUGCGAUAAUCAAAUCAACAUGAAAAAGGAAAUAAACUUAUAGGCCCUUUAUGCAAAGGGAUCCCCAUUUUUUUUUCAAAAAAAAAUUGGGGAUUAGGUGUAGGGCUGACUCCACAUCGAACUUCAAUGAUCUGAACAGUCUAUUUUGUAAGUCUCGAUUCAUAGAUCAUCCUUGCAAAAAUUCAAUUCAAUUCGAAACCAUUUGCCUAUUUAAUUAUCAAGAUAAAAUUUCAUUAUUUCUUACAUAACAAAGUAUUCGUUAAUUUCUUUGAACCCAAUUAGAUGUCUUAAACAUUUCCGAUUUAGCUAAUAUUUUGCAAGGAUGAUUUAUGAGGUGCAACUUGAAAAAUAGACGGUUUGGAUCAUUAAAGUUUGAUGUAGUAUAGACCCCACAACUAAUCCCCAUUUUUAUUAUAAAAAAAACAAGGGAUCCCUUCCCUUAAAGAUAACAGGAAAACAUGGUGCUAGGGUUUGAAGGAAGGGUCUUCUCCACUCAAGCAGUCAUAAGUCCCUUUUGCUGGUGAAUAGGGUUUAGCACAAAACAAGGAUAAUUAUUGUGAGUGCGGGGACCUCCUAAUAUAUUGAUACUUAUCCAUGUAAUCCGGCCAAUUAACUGAUUACAUGGGAUAUUUCAUAUCAAUUAGGGGUAUCAUAAUAGUCCUAAAUGGUAACGAAUUCUUUGUCAACUAUUUAAGGUUUUCCUAAUUAAUUUCACUAAAUAAGGACUCCUAAACCUAACCAAAUAAGGCUCUAUAAUUUUCUCAACUAUUAACUCGGAUUGACCAAGUUACUUGUAUGUCAAGAAAUGGGGAGCACAUAUCCUUUGACACUCACAACUUACAUUCUCCCACUUGAGUGUCCAAGAACAUGAUACUUACUUGGCUACAUACUUGCUUAGCUAGGUGGUAGGUGAUCACUGAGUCCCACAAAAUUUGCAAUUAUACCUUUAACAACUUGUCAAUAGUAGUUUAAAUAUUGGAUUAUAGAAAUAACAUGUAAUUGCUUCUACUUGUUUACUUUAUUACCACGAAUAUAAAAUUACAAGCACAAUGUUGUCUGACAUCAUUUGUGAAAUUCAGGUUGAUAAGCAAAAAUAUCGACUCCUAAACUGAGCCUCAUGCAAGCAUGACUCAUAUUUGUUGUCAAUUAAAACAUAAAAAUAAGAGAAGAUGCAAAUACAAUAUAUUGUUGCACAAUUACUCUCUUAUCAAGAUUUAUGAAUAAAAGUGUACUAUUAAACCAUUUUCCACUAACACUUCAAUUCAAAAAUACAAAAGCAAUUUCAAACUCUCACUGGUUAAAAGAGUAAAAAAAUCUCAUAACCACACAUACCUUUUAAAUGCUCCCACUGAUAAAGCAUUAGUCAAUUAUUUAUAAUUACAAAUUUUGAGAAUUCAACAUCAACUACUAAUUUUUUUUUACUUCAUCUCUAUGUCAGAUAUUGCAAGGAAGUGAGUGACUGAAAAACUAAACAAAAUCAAAUGGUCAAUUUUAUUCAUCUAAAAUUUGACAGAAACAGAAAACUUUAACGGAACAUUUUCUGAUUGCAACAUAAGCAUAUAAUUCCAAAAUCAUCUAUGGACAGAAUUUGAUUACAUUAGGUUUUCAUAGCUAAAACAUAAAAUACAAGGGCAAACGUAAAUAAUUUCAACACUUUUAAGCAGAUGAAGUAUAUACAAUCUUGUCAAUUCCAUGUUUAAUUGUUCAUUGAUUUAUAGUUUUAAUGAAUAAGAAAACACUUUUGAGCAGCUUAAUUAUCCAUCAAUAACAUGUAAAUCACAAGUCCAAUUUCUUGAACAACAAACAAGAAUUAAUAAGAAAAAUACUUUUGAUUUACAUUUUAUCUACUAAAACCAAAAUUGAUGAGUGUGAAACCCAGAAUACAUUAUUUCUCACACUUGGGCAAACACUCAAAAUUGCAAGAUUAAACACUAGAGAAAUUGGUUUUCAUAGAACAAAAUAUAGGCUUGUGUUAAUGUCUAAUUAACAACCAAAAUGCAAGUAAGUUGAAUCAAUAGAUCAAAUACAUAAACUUUUCCUACAAGUAGGUUAGAAUUAAAAAGUUCCAUAAAUAAAAAAAACUCAUGCAAUGAUUACAUUUUAAUUUUAUUUUAGUGCAUGAGAGAAAACUCACAUAUGUGUUAAAAAAUUAGGUCAUAUAUUAAAAUGAAACUUAAUAAGAGAGUCCAAACCCAAAAUUUAUGUUUUAAUUCUAAAAUAAAGUCGAUUAAAAUAAACACUUAGUUUAGAUAUCUCGAUAACAUCAAUUUUUAACAAUAAUUUUAAUCCAAUUUAGAGCUCAGAGAAAAUUAAGGCAAAAGAUUGACAAAUUUACCUCCUCAUUCUCGAUUAUGCAAGAUUUAUCAUGGAAGUAGUCGGGUUAUGGAGGAUCGAACCAACUACAAAUUGCAUGAUUGUUACACCUUUGGCAGAAUCAAAUCAUGCAAAGGAAAUACUUGCAUGGUUAGCCAAAACAUAAAAUACACAAAAUACAUAUAGCUUCAACAACUUUGGCCGGAUGAAAAUAAUGUUAGAAGUACUUUAUGAUUUGCUAUAAUACUAAUUUAUAGUUGGUAAAUGAUUUCCUAAAAUUCCCUUUGGGACAAAAGUAUUCACCAUAUAAAUUAGAAUUCUGAUUUUUCAAAAUAAUCAUUUAGAACAGUUUAAGUAAUCCAUUUUGUUGUAUAUUCAAUGAUUCUUAAAAGAUCAAGUCAGACACAAGAGUAUGUCGUUAUUGACAUUGAACAAUAAAAUUCUCGAAAGAGGAAACAUAAUUAUUCAGUUAUUCGAUAGGGACUAAAAUGAUCAAUUAAACUGAUCCCACUUUCCAAUUUUUGUCUCAAAAGACAAUGAUCAUCAUAAUCAAAAAUUGACCAAACAGAACAUUGGUUUGAGCAAAAUAAACCAAUACACCUUUAAAUCAAAACUUAAUCAGUGUUGCCUAAUAAAAGUCAUUAGUAUAGAGAAUUGCAUAAAAUAAGGACAUAUGGAACAAUAAACUUGUCUAAUAGUCGGUGCCAAUAGAUGUGCACAAAUCAGUGAAAUAUCCCAGAACACAACUAGUUGUUUGAAGUCCCAAAAUUCAGCAGCACAAAAUUAUUUUGUAAAUUCACUAAAAACUCAAUUCUUUUUAGGUUGUCAUGAAACUUUUCAAGUAUGAACUAGACAUAUAUGGCUACUAUUCUGCAAAAUUUCAUGAUUUUUAAAAUUUUAUAAGUGAGCCAAAAAUGAAUUUGAAAAGAGAGGUGCCGCAGAAAAUGUUCAGUACAUACCUGAGAUUACAAAUUCACCAAAUAUUCAUUGUUCAUCCGAUGAUGCAUGAAAAUUUUCAGACAUAAGGUAAACAUACAAAGCUGUUAGAUCCCAAAAUUUUCAUAAUUUUUGAGAUUUUAUAAGUGUACUAAAAGAAAAUUAGAAAUGGGAUGUGCUGCAGAAAUGGCAAAAAUUCUGCAGUACGUACCCAAGACUAAAUGAUUCACCAAAAAUUAAAUUUUUCUCCAAUGUGCAUGAAAACUUCCAGAAAUGAAUUAGACAUAUAAAUUUACUGUCACCAAAAAUUCCAUAAUUUUUACAAUCUUAAAAGUGGGCUAAAAAUAAAAUCAAAAUGGAAUGUGCUGCAGAAACUGUGUAAAUUCUGUAGCACAAUCCCAAGAUUAAAAAUUCACCAAUAAGUCAUUUUCAAACCAAUGCGUGUGAAAAUUUCCAAACCUAAAAUAAAUAUCUCAAUGUAUAUCAUACUAAAGUUCAUGAAUUUAUGAGUUACAUAGAUAUAUCAAAAUACUGUCACAAAUAGACUAUGAUGCAGAAUUCCAGCAACAUAGUGUAACACUUAAACUUUUAUCAUAAAUCCAUUUCUUGUCCGAAAGACAUGAAAUUUUUUCCAUGUAUAGAAUUCAUUAUAUAACAUAACAUGACUUAAUUUCAUCAAAAUUUAAGUUAGGAAAAAUUAUCAAAUUAUUGUUCUAGAGUGGUGACUGAAAUUUACAAGACCUUCUAAUCAGGUCACAAUAAAAUGAGAUAAAUAUGCAUUGAUGAGAAUUUGGCUAAACAAUGGCCAUUCACUAUAUAUUUGCUACACCAAAUGCAAAUGGGUAACAAAAAUUUCAUUCUUUUGGUGAUUACAACAAGCAAGGCAUCCCUUUCCACCAUAAAAGAAAAGGAUUUAGUCAUUUAGACAACUUCUCUUAAAGUCUACAUCAGCAAAAUAUCCAAAUUUGUUAACCAUAUCAAGUUUGAAUGCAAAAAUCACACUACUAUCCUUUUAAUUCAUUAAGUCAAUGUAGUUAAAAUAUAAGUUAAUGUAGUUAAAAAAUCUCAACACUACCACUGCAAUUCUUCUCUUCCAUACAAGGGUAAUAUAUUCAUGAAUAAUAGUAGAAUAAGAGUGAGCGGAAGCAUGAAAAUCCCAAAAACACAUAAUGAUGGGAUUAUUUUAUAACGAUGACAACCAAAAUUUUAAACUUGACCAAUGGCACCGUGAGCAGUGACUGAAUGACGGCUUGCUGGUGACCAAUGUGUAAGAGAAAAACUUGAAACACCAUGCGUUAGGGGAAGAGAAGCCUGAUGUACCUCUUCUUCCUCUUUUUUUUUGGAAAACUAACCAAAAACCCAAGAAAACUUUUCUUUUAAUCAUCAGGACAGAAGUUUUCAAAUAUGCCAAUCAUGCGCUUCAAGCAUAUGUACAAGAUUGCUCAACAUUCUACAAAAUUCACAUGGUUUCACCAAAAGAAGACAAGAAGGACUGAUAAUUGCAGAAAACAUUGGGUUAAGAGGAAAAGGUGGCAAACAUUUCAGCAGCCAAGACAACAUAGAUUCACAUGACCUCCUUUAAAGUAAAGAUAAGUCUGUCAGUUUUUAGAAACAGUGCUGACAACUUUCAGAAACAGUGUGCUGUCAAUACUAAAAAAAGCUGUAAAUAGUUGAAAUGUUAUUAUGUUUAUUAAGCAUUAGAUCUUGUAUAUAAGGGAGCUUUUGCUCCCAUGCAGAGCACACCUCUAGCUCAACACAUCUCAACACCUCACAACCUCUCAAUACCUCUCAACAUCUCAACACCCUACUCACUCACACCAUCUUCAUACUCUCAAGUAUUCGUAGUCUUCAUAACAUCCUUGUAAACACUUUCUUGUAAAUAACUAUCUUUGUAAACAUUCCAUAUAUCAAUAAAAGUUCAAGUGUACAUAUUCCAGCAAUCUCCAAGUCUUAAGUAAGCUUUCUUUACUUUCUUUAGUGUGUUUUGUUAAAUUAGAAUUCUAGUCCAAAACAGGGAAACACUAUUGUAGUUAUAUUAUUAACCUGCUAAACUGACGAUCAUACUUUGUUCGAGCACUCUGUGAUAGUUAAAUAUUUGCCAUACAAAUAACUGGACAUUAACCAGGGUACCUCUGAGUUUAGCCAUUAAGGCCUUAUACUUGUACUAUGAGUGGCCGUCAUGCUGAAACAUGUCGAGUUCCAUGUCUAAGGUUCUAUGUCUAGUUGUUAUAAUGGCCAUCCAACUAUUUAACCGGACAUGCGUUGCGAAUUUGGUAUUAGAGCCAAGUUUAGUAUUUUAAUAGUAUAAUUAUAAUAGUAAAGUACCUUGAGGACGGAAGUCAUUAACACAACUGAUAUCUCACUUGUUUAUUUUGUAUGAACAACAUAUAUUAUUGUCCUCGUAGACCUUGUCAGCCACAACCACCAGGUAUUUAUUAUCCCAGACACCCAACUAUAAAUAGCAUAAAGAGAACAUUAGCAUAUAUAUCGAAAAGAAUUAUCAAUACUUUGAAGAAGCAAAAGUUUUACCUUGGUUAUCUUGAACAUCCUUCAUUUAUUCGUAGAUAUAAUAACACAGAAGUGUAGCAUAAAGUUUUAGAAGCAAAAAGAGCAACAGAUCAAGUUUUAGAGAUCUUGAAAGAAGAAAGAGAAUUUCUAAGAAAUCAGUUAGCAAUAACUUUAGAGAAAUGUAGAUUAUAGUUUAUGAUAGAUUAUCUUAAUUUAGAAAUUAGUGAACCUCAAAAAAGAAAAAUAACCUUAGACCAAAAUAGUUUAGUUUGCUAUUUUCCAUUGAGAAAGCAUAAUUAUAUUUUGCAUAGUGAAGAAAAUCCAC
rnacentral:lncRNA from 1 species